rnacentral:snRNA from 1 species
GGAUGUGAGGGUGAUCUGACUGGACAUCUGUCACCAGGGUUCAUUGCCAGGGUUAAUAUGUUUGUUCUGGCUGGCUUGACGGGUGUCUUCUUCCUCCCUCAACACUAUGUGAGUCUCUCCCAAAAAUGCACAUUGUGUCAAGUGAUCAACCACUCCCAACAGAAGAUUAUUGGGCUGGGGAGAUAGCUCAGUGGUAUAAGUGCCUGUCUGGCAAGCACAGGGUGCUGAGUU